CGCUAAAUAUCAUGAUGUGUUGUGUUGAGUUUGAGAUAAAAUAGAUCCAGCGGUGCCGGAUCACGCCGGUCCGCACCUCCGAUAUCACUGCGCCGCCGACUCACGUCAUUUUCGCCAGCGUGUCCGGAGGGAAAGGAGUCCCCGGCACGAGCUCCGCUGUUUUGUUAAAUGCACACUUUUUAAACCUGCCUGAAGAAGGUCUAGUUGAGACCGAAACGUUGCGGUGUUGUUUUGUGCCUGUUCCCAUGUUCCUGCUGGAGAAAAUAAACGGUAAAGAAAACCUUUUCGCCGAUUUUUUCCUAAGCUAAGUGCUUUUGUGGCUAAGUUAGCCCAAAGCUAAUGAGGCUAAUCGAGCCCAACAUGCGGUGAAAUGCUAACAAAGAUGGCGGAGCAACGAGUGAGCAGAUUAUGGACGUGAGCGAGCCGGGUGCCAUGGGUGACUGCGAGGCUGCUGAUGCUGAGGUGAGGAGCGCAGUUCUUCCGGUCCACAUCACGGAGGGAGAAGGCACCUGCACCAGCACCACGGCUAAGGCGAGCAGAGGUACCCGGACCCGGACGGAGGUGAUGACGCGACAUCAAAGUGAUGGAGAAAGCGGAGGCGCCAUGUCUGUGGGUAACUGGGACUAAGGGAAACUUGAUUCUGUGUUUACUUUUGGGUCCUCGGAGCCGGGCCUGACGAUGGACCGUGCACUGACAGUGGUCUUAGGACCGCUGUCCCAACCCUUUAACCCCUAACCAGCCUGUGCCUCUUGGGUCUAGCCCCGGGGGUUCCCCCAUUUGUUUAUGCAGUCUCUCCAUCACCUAGCCCUAAACACAACCACAC
ensembl:lncRNA